rnacentral:rRNA from 1 species
GUAACCUGCCCAGAAGUAGGGGAUAACACCUGGAAACAGAUGCUAAUACCGUAUAACAGAGAAAACCGCAUGGUUUUCUUUUAAAAGAUGGCUCUGCUAUCACUUCUGGAUGGACCCGCGGCGUAUUAGCUAGUUGGUGAGGUAAAGGCUCACCAAGGCAGUGAUACGUAGCCGACCUGAGAGGGUAAUCGGCCACAUUGGGACUGAGACACGGCCCAGACUCCUACGGGAGGCAGCAGUAGGGAAUCUUCCACAAUGGACGCAAGUCUGAUGGAGCAACGCCGCGUGAGUGAAGAAGGGUUUCGGCUCGUAAAGCUCUGUUGUUAAAGAAGAACGUGGGUAAGAGUAACUGUUUACCCAGUGACGGUAUUUAACCAGAAAGCCACGGCUAACUACGUGCCAGCAGCCGCGGUAAUACGUAGGUGGCAAGCGUUAUCCGGAUUUAUUGGGCGUAAAGCGAGCGCAGGCGGUCUUUUAAGUCUAAUGUGAAAGCCUUCGGCUCAACCGAAGAAGUGCAUUGGAAACUGGGAGACUUGAGUGCAGAAGAGGACAGUGGAACUCCAUGUGUAGCGGUGAAAUGCGUAGAUAUAUGGAAGAACACCAGUGGCGAAGGCGGCUGUCUGGUCUGCAACUGACGCUGAGGCUCGAAAGCAUGGGUAGCGAACAGGAUUAGAUACCCUGGUAGUCCAUGCCGUAAACGAUGAUUACUAAGUGUUGGAGGGUUUCCGCCCUUCAGUGCUGCAGCUAACGCAUUAAGUAAUCCGCCUGGGGAGUACGACCGCAAGGUUGAAACUCAAAAGAAUUGACGGGGGCCCGCACAAGCGGUGGAGCAUGUGGUUUAAUUCGAAGCUACGCGAAGAACCUUACCAGGUCUUGACAUCUUCUGACAGUCUAAGAGAUUAGAGGUUCCCUUCGGGGACAGAAUGACAGGUGGUGCAUGGUUGUCGUCAGCUCGUGUCGUGAGAUGUUGGGUUAAGUCCCGCAACGAGCGCAACCCUUAUUACUAGUUGCCAGCAUUAAGUUGGGCACUCUAGUGAGACUGCCGGUGACAAACCGGAGGAAGGUGGGGACGACGUCAAAUCAUCAUGCCCCUUAUGACCUGGGCUACACACGUGCUACAAUGGAUGGUACAACGAGUCGCGAGACCGCGAGGUUAAGCUAAUCUCUUAAAACCAUUCUCAGUUCGGACUGUAGGCUGCAACUCGCCUACACGAAGUCGGAAUCGCUAGUAAUCGCGGAUCAGCAUGCCG